GACGUAGGGUGCGAGCGUUGUCCGGAUUUAUUGGGCGUAAAGAGCUCGUAGGCGGCUCGUCGCGUCGACCGUGAAAACCCGCGGCUUAACUGCGGGCUUGCGGUUGAUACGGGCGGGCUAGAGUUCGGUAGGGGAGACUGGAAUUCCUGGUGUAGCGGUGAAAUGCGCAGAUAUCGGAAGGAACAUCAGUGGCGAAAGCGGCUUCCUGGACCAGUACCGACGUUCAGGCGCGAAAGCGUGGGGAGCAAACAGG
rnacentral:rRNA from 1 species